GUACGGCCAGACUAGAGUGAUGUAGGGAGACUGAUCCUGUGUAGCGUGAAUGCGCAGAUAUCAGGAGGAACACCGAUGGCGAAGGCAGGUCUCUGGGCAUUAACUGACGCUGAGGAGCGAAAGCAUGGGGAGCGAACAGGAUUAGAUACCCUGGUAGUCCAUGCCGUAAACGUUGGGCACUAGGUGUGGGGGACAUUCCACGUUUUCCGCGCCGUAGCUAACGCAUUAAGUGCCCCGCCUGGGGAGUACGGCCGCAAGGCUAAAACUCAAAGGAAUUGACGGGGGCCCGCACAAGCGGCGGAGCAUGCGGAUUAAUUGGAUGCAACGCGAAGAACCUUACCAAGGCUUGACAUGAACCGGUAAUACCUGGAAACAGGUGCCCCGCUUGCGGUCGGUUUACAGGUGGUGCAUGGUUGUCGUCAGCUCGUGUCGUGAGAUGUUGGGUUAAGUCCCGCAACGAGCGCAACCCUCGUUCUAUGUUGCCAGCGCGUUAUGGCGGGGACUCAUAGGAGACUCCCGGGGUCAACUCGGAGGAAGGUGGGGACGACGUCAAAUCAUCAUGCCCCUUAUGUCUUGGGCUUCACGCAUGCUACAAUGGCCGGUACAAAGGGUUGCGAUACUGUGAGGUGGAGCUAAUCCCAAAAAGCCGGUCUCAGUUCGGAUUGGGGUCUGCAACUCGACCCCAUGAAGUCGGAGUCGCUAGUAAUCGCAGAUCAGCAACGCUGCGGUGAAUACGUUCCCGGGCCUUG
rnacentral:rRNA from 1 species